rnacentral:rRNA from 1 species
UACAGAGGGGGCAAGCGUUGUUCGGAAUUACUGGGCGUAAAGGGCGCGUAGGCGGCCUGUUAAGUCGGACGUGAAAUCCCUCGGCUCAACCGGGGAACUGCGUCCGAUACUGGCGGGCUUGAAUUCGGGAGAGGGAUGUGGAAUUCCAGGUGUAGCGGUGAAAGUGACGUAGAUAUCUGGAGGAACACCGGUGGCGAAGGCGGCAUCCUGGACCGACAUUGACGCGUGACGGCGCGAAAGCCAGGGGAGCAAACGG